AUUGCUUAUUGGCCUUUCGGCUAACAUCAAAUGUGGUAUCUGUUCUUAUCAAUUUAAUAUCUGACACAUACUCUAACCAAGGACAUUAUGCUAAAUGGAUUUUUGGAGAUGGGAGAUGGAAUAGGAGCUUGCUCUGUCACUCUGCAUAUUGACUUGGUAUUGCAAUACUUCUGGGAAUGGUGCACCAAGA